AUACUCACUUUGGCAACACAUAUACUAAAAAUCUGAGCAAUGCAGAGAACAUUAGCAUGGCCCCUGCACAAUAAUGAUAUGCAAAUUCUCAAAGCAUUUGAUUUUUUG